UCCUGGCCAAUGAAUUUUGGCAAAGAUGGAAGCGAGAGUAUUUGCUAAACCUUCAACAACGUCAGAAAUGGCAAAACUCAACACGAAACCUGAAAGUGAAUGAUAUUGUGAUUCUACAAGAUGAAAGCACACCAAGAAAUGAGUGGAAGCUUGCUAGAGUCUUACAAACCUAUCCUAGUCAAGAUGGCAUCGUACGAAAGUUAACUCUACUUGUCAGUGAGACUACACAGAAUAAAGGAAAUUCACACACUAGACUACUGCAUUUAGAUAGACCUGUUCAUAAGGUUGUAACGCUUGUAGAAGCAGAGUGAGUAACCAAAGCAGUAGUGGUUUGACAUGAAAAUCCCAUUUAUUCUUCAUAGGAGUGAUUUUGGUGGGAGUGUAAAUGCAGCUGAAAUUUAUAUAUUUUAUUGAAGUUCAUGGGUUGUGAAACGUUUAAUAAUUGGUGAUUUAAUUUUUAUUCCUUUGGAGUGUACAGUGAAUUUUGUUUGAUUUUGUUCAGAAGAAUUGUAUUAUUCUCGCGAGAAUUUGAGCCUUUUAUGUUGGCCGCAGGUGAGCACGGUCUUUUGCUCACGAGGUUGCAAUAAUUAGGAGUUCAAGCUGGGAGAAAGAGCUGCAAAAAGAAAUACCUUGGACUCAAAGAGACUCUUUUACUUGACAAGCGGAAACGAGUUUUCACGGCGUAAUGAAGGCGUAAUGAAGGCGCAAUGAAAGCGAAGGCACGCAAUGUCCCACAAGAAGUGUGAUGACCUGCAGAAGUACAAAUAAACGCCCGUUGUAAACCGA